UUGGUAACCACAUACACUUGCGCUACAUUGAUCUCUCUUAUACGACAAUUAAAAUGUUACCAGAUACAAUGUGUAGCCUCUACAAUUUACAAACUCUGCUAUUGUUGGGUUGUUCUUCUCUUGUUAAAUUGCCUGCAAACAUGAAGAAAUUGAUUCAUUUGCGUCAUCUUGAUAUUCGUGGAACUGACAUAAACGAGAUGCCUGUGCAUAUGGGUAGAUUAAAAAGUUUGAGAACGCUUACAGCUUUUGUAUUGGGAAAAUCUACUGGGUCAAACAUUGGAGAACUGAGGGAGUUGUCGCACCUACGAGGAAAAAUUUCUAUCUUGAAUCUACAAAAUGUAGUCGGUGCUAUUGAUGCCUUGCUGAAGGAUAAGAAAGAUCUCAAUGAGGUAGAGUUGGCAUGGGGUUAUGAAGUUUCCAAUGAUUUUGUGAAAAAGAAACAUGUACUUGAAAGACUACAACCUCCCGUAAAUUUGGUGAAACUAACCAUCAAGUGGUAUGGUGGAACCAGUUUCCCGAAUUGGGUGGGAGACUCGUCCUUCUCCAACUUACAAGUGAUGCGUCUCAGCGGC
rnacentral:lncRNA from 1 species